rnacentral:misc_RNA from 1 species
UUUCCGUAGGUGAACCUGCGGAAGGAUCAUUAUUGUAUAACCGAGGUGCGAGGGCUGUCGCUGACCCGAAAGGUCGUGCACGACCGAGUGCCCUCACACACAUCCAUCUCACCCCUAUGUGCACCACCGCGUGGGUCCCCCUUUGGCUUGUUCGGAGGGGGGCUUACGUUUUCACACAAACUUUGUAUGCAGUGUAGAAUGUAUUUUUUGUUUUUGCGAUCACGCAAUCAAUACAACUUUCAACAACGGAUCUCUUGGCUCUCGCAUCGAUGAAGAAGCAGC